CCCGGGUGAGCCGUCAAGCAUACAAGCCAGCACCUCACUACGCUCACCCGGGUGAGCCGUCAAGCAUACAAGCCAGCACCUCACUACGCUCACCCGGGGUUCACAAUCAUUUCUUAACAACUGUAGAAAGGUGAAGGCAGUACUAAGUACAAUACGACUAUGGUUUACAAGUAUUGAUAUUGAUGCUUAUAUGAGAGUGGCGACUAGCGAAGACGCGGGGCCAGGAGCUAUGGAUCGACCCCUGCAACCACAUGCAGGGAAUACAGGUUUAGGAACCUCAACCACUACCACUCCCACACCCCUACCACUCCCACACCCCUACAACUCACCCCAACACUUCAAGCUGCAGCUGCAGCUGCACUCCGCACUGCCACUCUUCACUGAGAAAAAAUUAGCAAAGAAAAUAGAUGAAAGGAAAAAACAGAUCUCGAAAAGCUUAUCUGGUAGUGGUGGGAUCACCAGCCAGCCUCCCGGAUCACCAGCCAGCCUCCCAAGAGAUCACCAGCCAGUCUCCCAAGGGAUCACCAGCCAGCCUCCCAAGGGAUCACCAGCCAGCCUCCUAAGGGAGUGAGAGAACAACCAUACACCACUUACGCCUAGUGUGAAACAGAGGCCGGAGCCAGGAGCUGUGACUCGACCCCUGCAACCACAAAUACGUGAGAACAGUCAAGUGUAUCUUGAAUGCAGGUCAAAGUUUAUAAGUUAUAUCUGGCGUCUAACAUAACCGUGAGAGAGGGAGAAAUGCUGCCAGUGUGUGAAGCAUUUAACAGCUUUCCACUGUACACUCAAAGUAUGAUGGAACAGUGGCACUCAACCUCUCAAAGGUUUGAUCACAUCAUCUUCAUUUCACUACACCUGCUGCCUCUUUGGCUGGAGAAGCCUACUACGUAGUCGUAGCGUUUCAACAAUAAAGUUACCCAACUGCUGCACAUGUG